rnacentral:antisense_RNA from 1 species
GCCCGCCUCAUUAGCGCUAAUGGCUGCUCCCUUCCGCCCUGUGUCGUCAGGACUGUCUGUGCCUGGUCUCGUCAGCACAAGGCUGGGUGUACUCCCCUUCAAGGGCCCUGUUCCCACCUUGUCCAGGGGAGAGGGUGGGGAGUGCAGGGAAAAACUGCAAGCACCCGUGGCUCUGUCAAUCAGGGUUGAUUUUGAAACCCCUACCCAGCCCACUGCCCCUGCCCCAGAGAGCACAGCCAUGUGUUUCCUGUGAAUCAUCUGUAGGAUUUCCUAAGGCAGAGGUUGCCUAGAGAGGCACGGUCUCCUCAGUCAUUCAGGGAGAGGAGAAGGAUGGAUGGGGGUUCUCUCAGCCUGGUGUAUUGAGCCCUGAGCUAGAGGGGAUCUGUGAUGGUUAAUUUUAUGUGUCAACUUGACUGGGCCAGGAAUGCCCAGAUAUCUGGUUAAAUAUUAUUUCUAGGUGUGCCUGUGAGGGUGUUUCCAGAAUCAUCCAAUCCUUUGAGGGUUGGAAUAAAACAAAAAGAUAGA